rnacentral:lncRNA from 1 species
GGAAUAUAUAACCCAACUUCAUUGCUCUUCUACUAAAACACUGGGGGGGGGGAAUCGGAGCUGGAUUUCCACGUUGCAUUUGCUUCCUUUUGUUAAUGUUUUAUGGGGGGUUGGCUUAGGUUUCCUAAUCAGGUUAUCUUAAAUAAAGACAAAAAGGGAAGAAGACACGAGCGGAGGGAGGAACUAGGAUUCCCCCCCUUCGGUCCCCGCCCGCCAAGACGCAGCAGCGCAGCAACUGUUGCGCUUGUGGAAUCCGAACAAUCUGGAUCGCAACGGGGAGAAGCCAGCGGCAGCAGCCACCGUUCUUUCAGUUGAGGCCGCGGCGGGGGAGCCCAGUUGCCCCUAUGGGCACAGGCAGCAGCAGCAGCUGGGCUGCAAAACCGCGCAGCCCCACCGCGGAGCCCCUCAUCGUAGCUCCCGGACCGGACAUUGGUGGCGGUAACAGCAGCGGCGCCCCCGCCAGGCAGGGCCAAGAAGAGCAGAGGGCGCUGGGGACUGGGAGGACCUCUGGGGCGGACGCCGGCGGGGACUGCUGCGAUCAGGAUUCGGCGCAAGGCGGGGAGCCCGACGCCGACUUGGAGCUCCUGAACCAAAUCCUGCAAGAGUGUGACGAAGGGCUCGUGGCGCAGCCGCCACCGCCACGCAGUCGCCGCCUCCCGCCGCGCUUCGACUCGGGAGAUUCCCGAUGCCCUCCGGCACCGGCAGGGGGCAGCAGCGCGGAGGAGGUCUUUUUAGCAGGAUCUACCCAAGGCCUAGAGAACAGUAACUUUUCCAAUCAGCUUCCACUCAAGAAACCCGAGAAACAGGCCAAGAUAUCCUACGAUUACUCUGAAGAGGAGUUGAUGGCAACAAUCGAGCAGGAGUACUGUCGCUGAAACUGGUUCCCAGGCUAUGGCUAUGGCUAUGAACAAACUGACUAGGCAACAAGCAAAAUAUUUAGCAUUUUUCAGAUAUACCAUAACAGGGCAGGCAAGAGGGCAAAAAGUGAAAUUGCCACCACUCUGAGAGACUGGCAAACCCACGUUCUAUGGAACAGGUGGUCCAAGAAGAGAUGCUUCUAAAGAAAUUAUAUUGUUUACUAUGCCAGAAUGCUGCCACUGAGAAGAGAUCUGAUAGGUGGAAACAGCAUUGUCCUUAUCCUAGAAGACUGGGAAGAAAUGUGGUAAAGGACUCAACUGCCUGUGCUUUGCCUGUCAUUUCCUAAGAACUUUGGAUCACAAAACCUAACCUGCACAAUAAAAUGUUUAUUCUUAGCA